rnacentral:piRNA from 1 species
UAGAAGACAGUAUGGUUCUGGGUACCCGC